AACAAGCAUGAACGCAUACGCAUGUUGCACAGCAGCAACACAACAGGUGGGCACACAAACAAGGUUGGCAUGGUCAGUCGCUACUCUGUUAAGGAAUCCUGAAUGCACAACAGUCAAUUUGGGAGUGUGUCUGUGCAUGUGCUCUGGAUUUCACAAUCAUUACAAUGACUAGUACAGUGCACAGUACAGAGACCUCAACAUAGAAGAACCAUCACUUCAACAUUCAGCAGCUACAUCACAAGAAUCAGUCGAACGAGGCACCAUUGAAAGCUUAAUUAUUCAAGAAACCUCUACGGGAGCCACAUUUUGGAAGAUGUGACUUAUCACUAAGGUAUCACUUCCACCUGUGUUUGAUAUUAUGCGCCUCUUCAGCAGCCGGUUAUAAAUGGUGAACUUUGGAACAGGGGUCCCUAAAGGUUAGCUUGUUAGCUACAAACCAUCUCUGACAAGCUGCAAUUGAAUUCGGAGUAAUGGCAAAAGGUUUCUUGGUAGUUUCUCAUCUAAGCAAAUUUGAAGUCAAAACAUCGCCUCGUCCAUCUCCAAUUUACGCUAGUGCAUUAGUGAAGUCAUAAUUUCAGCAAACACGUGAAAAAAAUGUUAGGCCAUACAUAAAUAAAUGUAUGUAAAAACAUUACCUGAAAAAGGCAAAGUGCUGUUACAUGAUGGACUUACUAAAUUAAUGAUUACCAUCUGAUAUCCCCAACCGAAAUGUUUUUCAUCUUCAUUCAGACGCAGUCAAAUUAUUUGAUUUCGAUUAAAUAGUGGAAGAAGAGGAAAUGGAAGAUACUGACGGUAUGGGAAUAAAGAAAUUACAUGGAAUUCCCCUUCAACCAAGUAUCUUAAAAAUUGUAUUCCCGGAUGUCUGGGUUUCUGUGUCAAACUCUGAAAUCUAAUGAAUCCUGUGCAAUAAAAAUCCCCACACUACUUUAUCUAAUCUUUAAUUUGACGCGUGACUUCAGUGACACCGCUGUUUUACAAUCAAACUCUAAUUUCCCCCGAAGCCAAAUCUGAACAGUCUCAUGAUACGGACGUACCAAUGAUUAAUUGUGAGCAAUUACCAUCUCUAUGGGGGGCCUCGUGUUCAGUCGGCACCCAUUCAAAGACAGCCAGCCUGUAAAUACUGUAGAGGGAUGUUCUCUUUGUGCUACCUGUCAUUUUUUCCUCAGAAUUCUUCAUUCAAAAUGACAGUGAGACCAGGAUGCAUCAAACAUCUCAAUUCGGCCCUUAUAAUAUUUUUGUUCUUCCCCUUAAGUCAUGCACACUAGUAGAAUCUUUUGGGAAUUGAACUAAAUCUACUGGCUUCACAUUAAAAUUGAAUCUUUCUAAAAAUUGUGGCUCUUGUGACUUAUUGGCUGGUUCACUCAGAGGGCUGCUGAAUUAAGCUUCUAAAAAAAUCACUUGCUGGUCCAAAAUGGCCCAAGUAGUGAAUAUAUCGAGAUCAUAUUUCUCCAA